UACGGAGGGUGCGAGCGUUGUCCGGAUUCAUUGGGCGUAAAGAGCGUGUAGGCGGCCAGUUAGGUCGGUUGUGAAAACUGGAGGCUCAACCUUCAGAGGUCGACCGAAACCAUCUGGCUAGAGUCCGGGAGAGGAGAGUGGAAUUCCUGGUGUAGCGGUGAAAUGCGCAGAUAUCAGGAAGAACACCCGUGGCGAAAGCGGCUCUCUGGAACGGUACUGACGCUGAGACGCGAAAGCGUGGGGAGCGAACAGG
rnacentral:rRNA from 1 species